rnacentral:rRNA from 1 species
UACGAAGGGGGCUAGCGUUGCUCGGAAUUACUGGGCGUAAAGCGCACGUAGGCGGCUUUCUAAGUCGGGGGUGAAAUCCUGGAGCUCAACUCCAGAACUGCCUUCGAUACUGGAGAGCUUGAGUCCGGGAGAGGUGAGUGGAACUGCGAGUGUAGAGGUGAAAUUCGUAGAUAUUCGCAAGAACACCAGUGGCGAAGGCAGCCCCCUGGGCUAGCGACUGACGCUCAGGCACGAAAGCGUGGGGAGCAAACAGG